UUGGGUUUCUGAGCUUGGACUUGGAGUGUGCUGGCUUCUGUCGGCUCCUCUUCAAAUAUAUUAGCGGAUUUUACUUCUCGCAAAACUCAGCGUGAUAAUUGUUAUGCUGUGUGAACUUGAAGAGUCGCUUCUAACCGUCCUUCGGGACAAUAUAUGACCAAUUUGACCUCAAAUCAGGUAGGACUACCCGCUGAACUUAA
rnacentral:misc_RNA from 1 species